rnacentral:rRNA from 2 species
UACCGAGUGAGGGCCCUCUGGGUCCAACCUCCCACCCGUGUCUAUCGUACCUUGUUGCUUCGGCGGGCCCGCCGUUUCGACGGCCGCCGGGGAGGCCUUGCGCCCCCGGGCCCGCGCCCGCCGAAGACCCCAACAUGAACGCUGUUCUGAAAGUAUGCAGUCUGAGUUGAUUAUCGUAAUCAGUUAAAACUUUCAACAACGGAUCUCUUGGUUCCGGCAUCGAUGAAGAACGCAGCGAAAUGCGAUAAGUAAUGUGAAUUGCAGAAUUCAGUGAAUCAUCGAGUCUUUGAACGCACAUUGCGCCCCCUGGUAUUCCGGGGGGCAUGCCUGUCCGAGCGUCAUUGCUGCCCUCAAGCACGGCUUGUGUGUUGGGCCCCCGUCCCCCUCUCCCGGGGGACGGGCCCGAAAGGCAGCGGCGGCACCGCGUCCGGUCCUCGAGCGUAUGGGGCUUUGUCACCUGCUCUGUAGGCCCGGCCGGCGCCAGCCGACACCCAACUUUAUUUUUCUAAGGUUGACCUCGGAUCAGGUAGGGAUACCCGCUGAACUUAAGCAUAU